rnacentral:rRNA from 1 species
CCCUAUUAUUAAGAUCAAAAAAUCAACUUAGAGAGUAGGUUUUCGCUGAAAACCAUUUAGGGUGGCGGUUUUCUUUACUAUCAGAUGGAUGUGUUUCUAAAACGAAAUUGCACGAACAUCUUACUUACUCUUGAAAAUACAUCCUGUACACCGCCGUCUGAAGGAUAAAUUUAGUACGUUAAUCCUAUUUCUCACACAGAAAUAAGUCAGGUAAGGUGCAGACUAUGGGUAAGAAGAGAUGCAUCUCUCUAACUUCACAAAAACUAGUUUGAAAAACUUUUUUAAGAAGAAUUUGAAAGUAAGCUUUUUUAAUCAUAAAAACCUGAAAUAGUAACAAGAAAAUGUACACAUCGCCCG